GAUGAACGCUAGCUACAGGCUUAACACAUGCAAGUCGAGGGGAAACGACAUCGAAAGCUUGCUUUUGAUGGGCGUCGACCGGCGCACGGGUGAGUAACGCGUAUCCAACCUGCCCAUCACUUGGGAAUAACCUUGCGAAAGUAAGACUAAUACCCAAUGACAUCCCACGAAGACAUCUGGAUGGGAUUAAAGAUUUAUCGGUGAUGGAUGGGGAUGCGUCUGAUUAGCUUGUUGGCGGGGUAACGGCCCACCAAGGCAACGAUCAGUAGGGGUUCUGAGAGGAAGGUCCCCCACAUUGGAACUGAGACAAGGUCCAAACUCCUACGGGAGGCAGCAGUGAGGAAUAUUGGUCAAUGGGCGAGAGCCUGAACCAGCCAAGUAGCGUGCAGGAUGACGGCCCUAUGGGUUGUAAACUGCUUUUAUAAGGGAAUAAAGUGGGUCUCGUGAGACUUUUUGCAUGUACCUGAUGAAUAAGGACCGGCUAAUUCCGUG
rnacentral:rRNA from 1 species